AACGAACGCUGGCGGCGUGGAUAAGACAUGCAAGUCGAACGGGACUUUUUUCUGUAGCAAUACAGAGAAAAGUCUAGUGGCGAACGGGUGCGUAACACGUGAGCAACCUGCCGUGAAAUGGGGGAUAGCUCGCCGAAAGGCGAAUUAGUACCGCAUGUGGCCAAGGAAGACAUCUUCCUGACGCCAAAGCCGGGGCAACCUGGCGCUUCUCGAGGGGCUCGCGGCCUAUCAGCUUGUUGGUGAGGUAACGGCUCACCAAGGCUAUGACGGGUAGCUGGUCUGAGAGGACGACCAGCCACACUGGAAUUGAGACACGGUCCAGACACCUACGGGUGGCAGCAGUCGAGAAUUUUUCACAAUGGGGGAAACCCUGAUGGAGCGACGCCGCGUGGAGGAUGAAGGUUUUCGGAUUGUAAACUCCUGUCAUUAGAGAACAAGGCACACGGUUUAACUGACCGUGUGUUGAUAGUAUCUGAAGAGGAAGAGACGGCUAACUCUGUGCCAGCCGCCGCGGUAA
rnacentral:rRNA from 1 species